rnacentral:rRNA from 1 species
UGGGGAAUUUUGGACAAUGGGCGCAAGCCUGAUCCAGCCAUGCCGCGUGAAGGAUGAAGUAUUUCGGUAUGUAAACUUCGUAAGAAUAGGAAGAAUAAAUGACGGUACUAUUUGUAAGGUCCGGCUAACUACGUGCCAGCAGCCGCGGUAAUACGUAGGGACCAAGCGUUGUUCGGAUUUACUGGGCGUAAAGGGCGCGUAGGCGGUGUGUCAAGUCAGUUGUGAAAUCUCCGAGCUUAACUCGGAACGGUCAACUGAUACUGUCACACUAGAGUACAGAAGGGGCAAUCGGAAUUCUUGGUGUAGCAGUGAAAUGCGUAGAUAUGCGGAGGAACACCGAUGGCGAAGGCAGCCCCCUGGGAUAACACUGACGCUCAUGCACGAAAGCGUGGGGAGCAAACAGGAUUAGAUACCCAUGUAGUCCCUGAGCGGGCUGGCAAGGCGCAU